AACGAACGCUGGCGGCAGGCCUAACACAUGCAAGUCGAACGGGUGUAGCAAUACAUCAGUGGCAGACGGGUGAGUAACACGUGGGAACCUUCCUAGAGGUACGGAACAACUCAGGGACACUUGAGCUAAUACCGUAUACGCUCUUGCGAGGAAAGAUUUAUCGCCUUUAGACGGGCCCGCGUCGGAUUAGCUAGUUGGUGGGGUAACGGCCUACCAAGGCGACGAUCCGUAGCUGAUCUGAGAGGAUGAUCAGCCACACUGGGACUGAGACACGGCCCAGACUCCUACGGGAGGCAGCAGUGGGGAAUCUUGGACAAUGGGCGCAAGCCUGAUCCAGCCAUGCCGCGUGAGUGAAGAAGGCCUUCGGGUUGUAAAGCUCUUUUGUCAGGGACGAUAAUGACGGUACCUGAAGAAUAAGCCCCGGCUAACUUCGUGCCAGCCGCCGCGGUAA
rnacentral:rRNA from 1 species